rnacentral:rRNA from 1 species
AACGAACGCUGGCGGCAUGCCUAACACACGCAAGUCGAACGAGAUCCUUCGGGGUCUAGUGGCGCACGGGUGCGUAACGCGUGGGAAUCUGCCCUUAGGUUCGGAAUAACAGUUAGAAAUGACUGCUAAUACCGGAUGAUGACGUUAAGUCCAAAGUUCUAUCGCCUGAGGAUGAGCCCGCGUAGGAUUAGCUGGUUGGUGUGGUAAAGGCGCACCAAGGCGACGAUCCUUAGCUGGUCUGAGAGGAUGAUCAGCCACACUGGGACUGAGACACGGCCCAGACUCCUACGGGAGGCAGCAGAGGGGAAUAUUGGACAAUGGGCGCAAGCCUGAUCCAGCAAUGCCGCGUGAGUGAUGAAGGCCUUAGGGUUGUAAAGCUCUUUUACCCGGGAUGAUAAUGACAGUACCGGGAGAAUAAGCCCCGGCUAACUCCGUG